CGAGGCGGCCACAGUGGCAGGGCCACACCCGUACCCAUCCCGAACACGGCAGUAAAGUCUGCCCACGUGGCUGGUGGUACUGGCGCGCGAGAGCCGCUGGGAACCCACCCACGCCGCCUCAC
rnacentral:rRNA from 1 species